rnacentral:lncRNA from 1 species
GGUUACCAAGCAACGGCUUCAGGCAAAUCACCUCAGAUCUGUUCUCCAUUCCCCCAGGGUUGUGGGGGUCCGAAGCACAAGCAGAUGUCUGGAGGGAGCUAUUACUCACAUCGCUCGGUGGCAGUAGCAGCAGUCACAGACCAAUCUCUAUCACCUCAGGAAAGAAGGGGGCAGAAACAGGCAAGAAACUGGCAAUAAAAGGGCAAUAGGAAGAAAGCUUUAAUCUAAGCCUUUGCCAACUGUGGUGAGGACAAACCCACUCUGUUUUGUUCAAAAGGUAUUCUUUGGAAGGAAAAAAAAAUUAGAUAUGUUGAAAGGAAAGAACAUUAAAAAGGGAUUCUGGUGUUUUUAUCCAGAUCACUCAGCCUCUAGUUCUGAAAUUCUCCUAAGAGCUCUUGCUAGAAGUCAGAGUUCCCUCAAUUAAGGGGGAAGUGGUGAGAUAAUUAGGUAGGAACACAUGCUUAUA